rnacentral:misc_RNA from 1 species
AAGUCGUAACAAGGUAUCCGUAGGUGAACCUGCGGAUGGAUCAUUGAAAGAAGAAAUAGAAGCAAUUCUAUUUACAUCUUCGACUCUUUGUUGAAUUCGUUUUCACACUUUAACGGCGUGCCAAAGAGGGUUUCGAUUCUCUUUGUGCACACCACUUUUUUCCCUCAUCAAUACAUACAAACUCUUUGUACCUGUUUUUGAUGUAUUUUGGAGCACAGAGCUCUCUCUUUCGUGAGAAAGAGUUAGUUCGUCUCCUUUUCUUAUAAGAUAUUAUAAUUUUAUAAGCACAACUCUUAGCAACGGAUAUCUUGGCUCCUA